UCAUACAGUUAUAUAUUGUCUACUCUACAUUAACAGGAAGAGGGUGACUAUUUUUAAAAUCAGACAGUUCUUCCUCUCCUCUCCAUGAAAAUCAAAAGCAGGGUAUGUAUUACCAUGAAAGGGUAGAAAUACAAAUCAAUACAAUCUUGAAAAUGGGUGCUGGUUGGAAAAAGAAAAUACUUUAUUAACUGAGUAGGAUUUCACAUAAUGCCAUUUUGACUCAAAUACCCUUUCAUAUCAGUGGGAGAUGGCUUUGAAAGGCCUAACUUGUGAGAAGGGUCAUUCUAAUUGGAUAUCUCAACCUACCACUGCUCC
rnacentral:lncRNA from 1 species